UAUAUUACAUAUAACAUUACACUAUAGUGGUAUAGUUCAAUAUAGUAAUAUAUAAUGCUAAUAUUGUGCUAUGCUAAUAAUAUAAUAUAUUGUAUGUACAUACAGCUGCUCUGAGUCCCCUUCGGGGUGAGAAGGGUGGGAUAUAAAUGUAGUAAAUAAAUAAUUAAUUUUAGACUUAGGCUCGGCCAAAGUUUGAAAUGACUUGAAGGCACACAACAACAACAAUCCUAAUUAACUUGACUAUCUCAUUGGCCAGAAGCAGGCCCACAUUUUCCAUUGAAAUCCUGAUAGGUUUUUGUUGGUUAAAAUUGUUUUCAUUUUAAAAUAUUGUAUUGUUCUUUCAUUGUUGUUGUUGCUGUUUUGCACUACAAAAAAUAAGACAUGUGCAGUGUGCAUAGGAAUUUGUUCAUUUUUUUUUUCAAAUGAUAAUUCAGCCCAACAGUCUGAAGGAUUGUGGACCGGCCCUCUGCUUCAAAAGUUUAAGGACCCCUGCUCUAGAUUAUCCAAGCCAUUUUUGUAGUCAAUGUUUUCAAUAUAUCAUGAUAUUUUGGUGCUAAAUUCGUAAAUACAGUAAUUACAACAUAACAUUACUGCAUAUUGAACUACUUUUUCUGUCAAAUUUAUUGUAUAACAUGAUGUUUUGGUGCUUAAUUUGUAAAAUCAUAAUCUAAUUUGAUGUUUAAUAGGCUUUUCCUUAAUCCCUCCUUAUUAUCCAAGGUAUUUGCUUAUCCAAGCUUCUGCCGGCCCGUUUAGCUUGGAUAAGUGAGACUCUACUGUAUUACUAUUAUUAUUUCUAUACUUUUCAUAGUGAUGACACUUUUUCAAAUGGAUCAUUAGGAACUCAGUAAUUCCAUUUUCUAGGAAACUGGAGGUUAAACCAAGCCCUUCUAAGAAUUAGAGACAGAUAGAUAAAAAGGUAAAGGCUUCCCCUGGACGUUAAGUCCAGUCAUGUCUGACUCUGGGGGUUGGUGCUGAUCUCCAUUUCUAAGCUUACUUAGAAAUAAUGGAAUGUAUGGGAAUGCAAUGUAUCUCAUGGAAACCUGUGGAUACGGAAGUCUGCCUACACGUUGUGAUUCUUACUUGUUUUUAUUUGGAAUUCUGUAACUUUAAAGCUUGUCCCAUGGAUCUUCUAUCUCUCCAAAAAUGAUAGGAAUAACGUCUGUGAGUAGUUAGGAAUAUUUGGAGACACGUUCGUAUUAUUAAUCAUAAUACUUACUUUAUUUUUGUAUCCCACCUCCAUCUCCCCGAAGGGAUUCAGAGCUCACAUGGGCAUGAACCCAACAUCGACAUAACUUAAAACAAUCCAUGAAAUGUAAAACAAUAUAACAAUAUAGUAUAAAACAGCAUAAAACAACAUAAAAUAUUUUCCCUCCUUGGAGUGCACUUUCCUCAGCGCCAGCCCAAGGGAGCCAUGCUCUGCGUGAGGAUCAGGAUGAGGGCCUUCCCUUCUGCAGCCUCCCCAUUAUCUGAUGCCCUCCCCUUCAAAGCCCACCCAGUGCAGAUGUUGAUGUUAUUCCAGUCUCCAGACACAUCAUACUGCUGAGCUGAGCUGGAGGUAAUACGAGGCUGCAACACAUCCACUGCUCCCCAUUCAGGAGCAAAGGAAGGGCGGGAAGGAUGUAAGUACCCUCCGGAGGCAGGAAGAGGAGGGCAGAGGGGCCUGCAAAGAAAGGUAACUUCUGAACAAGUUCUGCGAAGAACAUCUUGUGAGAGUUUUGCCCGAGGAGUGCUCUAAGUCUAAAGUGAAUUCAAGAUGCACAGCAAUGACAACAAGAAGAAAUAAGUAGUAGAAAAAUACAUUUCAAGCUAAAUGCCUGUGCAAUUAUAAGGGGGGAAAUAAGAUUGUGCUGAAGAAAGAGACACUUGCUGAAAGUGAGAAGAAUGCUAAAGUAAUACAAAGACUAUGCUGUUCGGGAGGUUAUAUCUGUGAAUCCCUGGCAUGAUAUUUGAAUUAUAAUUGUAAACGAAUGGCAAGUCCUCCACCUCCCUAUCCUAGAUCACACACAGGGGAGAAGUUACAUCAGUGUAUGGAAUGUGGGAAACAAUUUGAUAGGAAAAGUCAUCUUACUAGACAUGAACGCACCCACACAGGGGAGAAGCCUUAUAAAUGCAUGGAAUGUGGAGGAAGCUUCAGUCGCAGUGGCAGCCUACGUUCCCAUCAAAGGACCCACACAGGGGAGAAGCCAUAUAAAUGUAUGAAAUGUGGAGGAAGCUUCAGUCGCAGUGGCAGCCUACGUUCCCAUCAAAGGACCCACACAGGGGAGAAGCCAUAUAAAUGCAUGGAAUGUGGAGGAAGCUUCAGUCGCAGUGGCAGCCUACGUUCCCAUCAAAGGACCCACACAGGGGAGAAGCCACAUAAAUGCAUAGAAUGUGGAGAAAGCUUCAGUCACAGUGGCAGUCUACGUUCCCAUCAAAGGACCCACACAGGGGAGAAGCCACAUAAAUGCAUGGAAUGUGGAAAGAGCUUCAGUCAGAGUUGCCAUCUACGUUCCCAUCAAAUGACCCACACAGGGGAGAAGCCACAUAAAUGCAUGGAAUGUGGAGAAAGCUUCAGUCAGAGUGGACAUCUACGUUUCCAUCAAAGGACCCACACAGGGGAGAAGCCACUUAAAUGCGUAGAAUGCGGAAAGAGCUUCAGUCACAGUUCUCAUUUGCGUACCCAUCAAAGGACCCACACAGGGGAGAAGCCAUAUAAAUGCAUAGAAUGCGGAGUAAGCGUCAGUCACAGAGGCAGUCUACGUUACCAUCAAAGGACCCACACAGGGGAGAAGCCAUACAAAUGCAUAGAAUGCGGAAAGAGCUUCAGUCGGAGUGACAGUCUACGUUCUCAUCAAAAGACCCACACAGGGGAGAAGCCACAUAAAUGCGUAGAAUGCGGAAAGAGCUUCAGUCACAGUUCUCAUUUGCGUACCCAUCAAAGGACCCACACAGGGGAGAAGCCAUAUAAAUGCAUAGAAUGUGGAGAAAGCUUCAGUCGGAGUGACAGUCUACGUUCUCAUCAAAAGACCCACACAGGGGAGAAGCUACAUAAAUGCGUAGAAUGCGGAAAGAGCUUUAGUCACAAUUCUCAUUUGCGUACCCAUCAAAGGACCCACACAAGGGAGAAGCCAUAUAAAUGUAUGGAAUGUGGAAAGAGCUUUAGAGAAAGUUCAGCAUAUAUUAGACAUCACAGAACCCAUGCGCCACUAGAGGAGACGGGCCUUUAAGUUUCCAAGCCCUCUUCAAAAGAACAUUGGAAGGAAAGAGGAAAGCCACCACCUUGCUCUCUCUCUCUCUCCCAUGAACUGCAAUUUGACUGCUGCUGACAGGUCUCACUCAGAGGGGGGCUUUUCUCAGCAUUGCAGCAAGCUUUGAAGGCGUUCACCUAACCUCCUCCAUAAAGAAACCCCUCACAGGCUUCUAGGAUGAUCUCUGAAGGUUUGCUGAAAUGAGCAGAAGCUGAGAUAUCAGGAUAAAAAGGGUUCUGAAAAAGAAUAGCUCUUUGGUAGCAGAUUACGUCAUAUCUUGAUACGCUUGUCUCAUGUCUUGGCUCUACUGCCCCUCGGUUAGAAUUUGGGGCUCCAGCCAUGUACCUGUAACCCUUUCCUGGACUUUGUUGUGUCCUGAAUCGUUGACUAAAUUCUGGACUGACUGCCUGGUUUCAUUUAUGAACUAGGACUUUGUUUGUAUCCCCGUCUUUUUGGGUUAUCUUUGAGACUCUGAAUUCUGUUUGUAUUCUUGAUUUUUUGGUUGUUAUUUUAUCAUCUCUGUCGAAUGAACUCUGGGCAUGUGACUAUUGGACUGUUAUCUUGGCUAUUGUUUUUUCUUGCUCCUGACCUGGAUCUGCAGUUCUUGACAUGUCUGCAUUAAUUUGACUCUUGACCUUGACUUGUGUUCACUGUUACUCCGACUGUGUUGAUGCAAUUAUAUUAUUUUAGCAGGACUCAAGAUUUUAAAGGUAAAGGAUUUAAAGUUUAAAGGUAAAGACUCAAGUCUUGAAAGGUAUGGUCUUGGCUUACCUUGUGUUCCUCAGACCUUAUACCGGGAGAGCCCUGGUACACGAGACCAUCAGUCUUGCUUUGUGUGUACUAAUCCCUGCUUAGAGUGAACCCAUUUCUGUAUUUGAGACUGUUUAAUCGCCACCUUUGGCAAAGGGUCCAUUAGGAUACACAGCAUAUCUCCCUAACUGUAGGGAUUGGAAGACACCGGAUUAUGACAACAGCUGAUGAAGAUAAAUGAUGGUGAUGAUGAUGGUGGUGAUGAUAAUUUAUUUGUAACCCGCCCUAUCUCCCCGAGGGGACUCAGGGCGGUUUCCAGCAAGUAACAAAAUGCCAAACAUUCAAUGCCAUAAAGUUAAAAACAAUAGAUAUGACAAUCACAAUAUAAACCUAUGAAUGAAACUAAAAACAUAACCAAAUAUUAAAACCUAAACAUACUCUCACACAUUUACCAUAGUAAAAUGCUACAUGUUUCACAUAAUGUAGUUUACGGCUUCCCAGGAGCUGAGGUAGGUGUCCAAUAUCUGGGCGAGGAUAUUUAUAUGAUGUAGUAGUCCUCCUCCUCUCCAUAUGCUAAAGUGCAUAAAUGGGUUUUUAAAAGCUUUUUGAAGGAGAGGAGAGGGGGCCAUUCUUAGUUCUUUAGGGUGGAGUUCCAGAGACAAGGGGCGAUCACGGAGAAGGCCCCUCUCUUGUCUCCCCACAACCGAGCUUGGGACGGGAGUGGGACCGAGAAGAGGGCCUCCUCUGCAGACCACAGCACCCGUGCUGGUUUAUUUAUGGAGGUGCCGUUUUUCAAAAACUCUGGACCCGAAAUGCUUAGGGCUUUAUAGGUAAUAACCAGCACUUUGUAUUAAGUCCAGAAGCGGACGGGCAGACAGUGGUUGCUCUCCCUUUAUGGUGCUCCACAAAUUAACCUGGUUGCGGAUCUUUGAACAAUUGAACCUUCCGAACUAUCUUCAAAGGCAGCCCCACGUAGAGAGAGUGGCAGUGGUCCAGGUUGGAUGUAACUGGACUCAUUAAUCCGUUGAGAUGGACAAAUUAACUAAAUGGAUGAAGUAUAGAACAGCAUUUAGAGGAAUAGAGGUAAAAAUCAUAUAGUGAAUGAGAUGUUUAUAGACUAGUGUUCGUUGGCCGUUAGUUUUGAUCUUAUUGUACAAGACGUGUGUCCUUGUUCGCUUUAUAUUUGUUAAGUAGUACAGUAGAGUCGCACUUAUCCAACACUCGCUUAUUCAACGUUCUGGAUUAUCCAACGCAUUUUUGUAGUCAGUGUUUUCAAUAUAUCAUGAUAUUUUGGUGCUAAAUUCGUAAAUACAGUAAUUACUACAUAGCAUUACUGUGUAUUGAACUACCUUUUAUGUCAAAUUUGUUGUUAAACAUGAUGUUUUGGUGCUUAAUUUGUAAAAUCAUAACCUAAUUUAAUGUUUAAUAGGCUUUUCCUUAAUCUCUCCUUAUUAUCCAACAUAUUUGCUUAUCCAACAUUCUGCCAGCUCGUUUACGUUGGAUAAGCGAGACUCUACUGUACUUCUAAAAAGGGACCAGAAUGAUAAUUUGUGUAAAAACGUUAAAUACCUAAAUUGUAAUUUGCAUAAGCAUGCUUUGUUUUGUUUGUUGUUUUUUUGUCUUUGAAUAAAAAUUGUUUAUUCUA